UACGAAGGGUGCAAGCGUUACUCGGAAUUACUGGGCGUAAAGCGUGCGUAGGUGGUGAGUUAAGUCGAACGUGAAAUCCCCGGGCUCAACCCGGGAACUGCGUCCGAUACUGGCAGGCUUGAAUUCGGGAGAGGGAUGCGGAAUUCCGUGGUGUAGCGGUGAAAUGCGCAGAUAUCAGGAGGAACACCGGUGGCGAAGGCGGGUUGCUGGGCUGACACUGACGCUGAUGCGCGAAAGCCAGGGGAGCGAACGGG
rnacentral:rRNA from 1 species